UGGGGGAAUCUUCCGCAAUGGGCGAAAGCCUGACGGAGCAAUGCCGCGUGAGUGAAGAAGGCCUUCGGGUUGUAAAGCUCUAUCGUAAUCGAAGAGAGCUUGUGAUAGUAACUGAUCAUGAGAGGACGGUAGAUUACAAGGAAGCCCCGGCUAACUAUGUGCCAGCAGCCGCGGUAAAACAUAGGGGGCAAGCGUUGUCCGGAAUCACUGGGCGUAAAAGGGCGCGUAGGUGGUUUGUUAAGUCAGAUGUGAAAUGUAGGGGCUCAACCCCUAACGUGCAUCUGAUACUGGCAGACUUGAGUGCGGAAGAGGCAAGUGGAAUUCCUAGUGUAGCGGUGAAAUGCUUAGAUAUCACGAAGAACUCCGAUUGCGAAGGCAGCUCACUGGGGCGCAACUGACGCUGAAGCUCGAAAGCGCGGGUAUC
rnacentral:rRNA from 1 species